GCCAAAGUAAGAUGAUAAUUAGAAAAAAAAUUUUAAUAUAUCAUCAACUGAAUUAUUGUCUUCUGAUCGAGAUACAUGUAGAUAAGUAAUUAGGUUUGAUAUGUUUUCAUAUCCAUCGCUCAUCUGGGAUGUGGUUUGGUUGAAGAAUUGAAUUACACAGUAAUUUGCCAUUGAAGGGUAUUUUGAUAAUUUUUAUCAAAAUUUUAAAUCUUUCGAAUAGUCAUGAGAUAUUACUAGAUAUCAAUCUUGACUUGUGGACUCAUCAU
rnacentral:lncRNA from 1 species